rnacentral:rRNA from 1 species
GCAGUCGCCGCGGUAAUACCGAGGGUGCAAGCGUUAAUCGGAAUUACUGGGCGUAAAGCGCGCGUAGGUGGUUUGUUAAGUUGGAUGUGAAAUCCCCGGGCUCAACCUGGGAACUGCAUCCAAAACUGGCAAGCUAGAGUAUGGUAGAGGGUGGUGGAAUUUCCUGUGUAGCGGUGAAAUGCGUAGAUAUAGGAAGGAACACCAGUGGCGAAGGCGACCACCUGGACUGAUACUGACACUGAGGUGCGAAAGCGUGGGGAGCAAACAGGAUUAGAUACCCCAGUAGUCCCUGUCUCUUAUAC